ensembl:snRNA U6 U6 spliceosomal RNA
GUGCUUGCUUCGGCAGCACAUAUACCAAAAUUGGAACGAUACAAAACUUGGAAUAUUAGCAUGGCCCCUGUGCUAGGAUGACACACAAAUUUGUGAAGCGUUCCAUCACUAA